rfam:Salmo salar isolate Sally breed double haploid chromosome ssa27, whole genome shotgun sequence.
AGUAUUCACUACUGUAAGUCGCUCUGGAUAAAGAGCGUCUGCUAAAUGACGUAAA